rnacentral:rRNA from 1 species
AACGAACGCUGGCGGCAGGCCUAACACAUGCAAGUCGAGCGCACCUUCGGGUGAGCGGCGGACGGGUUAGUAACGCGUGGGAACGUGCCCAGAUCUGCGGAAUAGCCACUGGAAACGGUGAGUAAUACCGCAUACGCCCUUCGGGGGAAAGAUUUAUCGGAUUUGGAUCGGCCCGCGUUAGAUUAGGUAGUUGGUGAGGUAACGGCUCACCAAGCCUACGAUCUAUAGCUGGUUUUAGAGGAUGAUCAGCAACACUGGGACUGAGACACGGCCCAGACUCCUACGGGAGGCAGCAGUGGGGAAUCUUGGACAAUGGGCGCAAGCCUGAUCCAGCCAUGCCGCGUGAGUGAUGAAGGCCUUAGGGUCGUAAAGCUCUUUCGCCAGGGAUGAUAAUGACAGUACCUGGUAAAGAAACCCCGGCUAACUCCGUGCCAGCAGCCGCGGUAAUACGGAGGGGGUUAGCGUUGUUCGGAAUUACUGGGCGUAAAGCGCGCGUAGGCGGACCAGAAAGUUAGGGGUGAAAUCCCGGGGCUCAACCCCGGAACUGCCUCUAAAACUCCUGGUCUAGAGUUCGAGAGAGGUGAGUGGAAUUCCGAGUGUAGAGGUGAAAUUCGUAGAUAUUCGGAGGAACACCAGUGGCGAAGGCGGCUCACUGGCUCGAUACUGACGCUGAGGUGCGAAAGUGUGGGGAGCAAACAGGAUUAGAUACCCUGGUAGUCCACACCGUAAACGAUGAAUGCCAGUCGUCGGGUAGCAUGCUAUUCGGUGACACACCUAACGGAUUAAGCAUUCCGCCUGGG